UUUUUGCUGAGGAUGGAAAGGGAUUUUAACUCUGGAUCUUCCUGGAUGACAGACCCCUCGCUUCAGAUGAGAGUCUGACUUUCAAGUUC